rnacentral:rRNA from 1 species
GACGAACGCUGGCGGCGUGCCUAACACAUGCAAGUCGAGCGGAGAUACAUCGAAGAGCAAUCAGAUAUGUAUCUUAGCGGCGGACGGGUGAGUAACGCGUGGGCAACCUGCCUCAUACUGGGGGAUAACACAGGGAAACUUGUGCUAAUACCGCAUAAUAUCAUUAUAGGGCAUCCUGUGAUGAUCAAAGGAGCAAUCCGGUGUGAGAUGGGCCCGCGUCCAAUUAGCUAGUUGGUGGGGUAACGGCCCACCAAGGCGACGAUUGGUAGCCGAACUGAGAGGUUGAUCGGCCACAUUGGGACUGAGACACGGCCCAGACUCCUACGGGAGGCAGCAGUGGGGAAUAUUGCGCAAUGGGGGAAACCCUGACGCAGCAACGCCGCGUGAAGGAUGAAGGUCUUCGGAUUGUAAACUUCUUUGAUGAGGACGAACACAAUGACGGUACCUCAAAACAAGCCACGGCUAACUACGUGCCAGCAGACCC